AUUGAACGCUGGCGGAAUGCUUUACACAUGCAAGUCGAACGGCAGCACGGGGGCAACCCUGGUGGCGAGUGGCGAACGGGUGAGUAAUACAUCGGAACGUGCCCAGUCGUGGGGGAUAACGUAGCGAAAGCUACGCUAAUACCGCAUACGAUCUACGGAUGAAAGCGGGGGAUCGCAAGACCUCGCGCGAUUGGAGCGGCCGAUGGCAGAUUAGGUAGUUGGUGGGGUAAAGGCUCACCAAGCCUUCGAUCUGUAGCUGGUCUGAGAGGACGACCAGCCACACUGGGACUGAGACACGGCCCAGACUCCUACGGGAGGCAGCAGUGGGGAAUUUUGGACAAUGGGCGAAAGCCUGAUCCAGCCAUUCCGCGUGCAGGAUGAAGGCCCUCGGGUUGUAAACUGCUUUUGUACGGAACGAAACGGCCUUUUCUAAUACAGAGGGCUAAUGACGGUACCGUAAGAAUAAGCACCGGCUAACUACGUGCCAGCAGCCGCGGUAAUGUAUCG
rnacentral:rRNA from 1 species